rnacentral:rRNA from 1 species
CCUACGGGGGGCUGCAGUAGGGAAUAUUGGACAAUGGGCGCAAGCCUGAUCCAGCCAUCCCGCGUGAAGGAUUAAGGCCCUCUGGGUUGUAAACUUCUUUUCUUUGGGAAUAAAAACUCCGAUUCAUCGGAGCUUGAAGGUACCAGAGGAAUAAGCACCGGCUAACUCCGUGCCAGCAGCCGCGGUAAUACGGAGGGUGCAAGCGUUAUCGGGAUUCACUGGGGCGAAGGGGUGCUUGUAAGUCAUUGGAGAAAGCCCGGAGCUCAACUCCGGAACUGCCAGUGAUACUGCUUAGCUUGAAUCAGGUCGAGGUGGAUGGAAUAUUACAUGUAGCGGUGAAAUGCUUAGAUAUGUAAUAGAACACCGAUUGCGAAGGCAGUUCACUAGGCCUGUAUUGACACUGAGGCACGAAAGCGUGGGGAUCAAACAGGAUUAGAUACCCCUGUAGUC